CGGGUGGUAAUGCCGGAUGCUCCAGUUGAUCGCAUGGUCUUCUGGGAAAGCUUUCGCGGUAUGGGAUGGGGUCGCGUCCUAUCAGCUUGACGGCGGGGUAACGGCCCACCGUGGCUUCGACGGGUAGCCGGCCUGAGAGGGCGACCGGCCACAUUGGGACUGAGAUACGGCCCAGACUCCUACGGGAGGCAGCAGUGGGGAAUAUUGCACAAUGGGCGCAAGCCUGAUGCAGCGACGCCGCGUGAGGGAUGGAGGCCUUCGGGUUGUAAACCUCUUUUAUCGGGGAGCAAGCGAGAGUGAGUUUACCCGUUGAAUAAGCACCGGCUAACUACGUGCCAGCAGCCGCGGUAAUACGUAGGGUGCAAGCGUUAUCCGGAAUUAUUGGGCGUAAAGGGCUCGUAGGCGGUUCGUCGCGUCCGGUGUGAAAGUCCAUCGCUUAACGGUGGAUCCGCGCCGGGUACGGGCGGGCUUGAGUGCGGUAGGGGAGACUGGAAUUCCCGGUGUAACGGUGGAAUGUGUAGAUAUCGGAAAAAAACACC
rnacentral:rRNA from 1 species